rnacentral:rRNA from 1 species
CAGUCGCCGCGGUAAUACGAAGGGUGCAAGCGUUACUCGGAAUUACUGGGCGUAAAGCGUGCGUAGGUGGUGGUUUAAGUCCGUUGUGAAAGCCCUGGGCUCAACCUGGGAAUUGCAGUGGAUACUGGAUCACUAGAGUGUGGUAGAGGAUAGUGGAAUUUCCGGUGUAGCAGUGAAAUGCGUAGAGAUCGGAAGGAACAUCUGUGGCGAAGGCGACUAUCUGGGCCAACACUGACACUGAGGCUCGAAAGCGUGGGGAGCAAACAGGAUUAGAUACCCCUGUAGUCCCUGUCUCUUAUAC